AUAUUCAUAUGUAAAUACAAUUGUCUGUUUGUAUGUAGUUUUAAGAUAUUAUAAUUUACAUUUAUAUAUUUAUGUAUGUGUAUUUUCAAUUGCUUACCCGACACACCGUAGAACGCCAUUCCACCUUUACCCAUGAAAAGAACAAAUUUAAUAAACGUAAAUAUUCGUUCGCGCAAAAUUAUACAUGUAGACAUAUAUAGAAGAAUAAUCAAAUAGAAAGGUGAAAUGAAAAAGAAUAUUUCAAUUAAAUAUGUAUAUGAGUAUUCAUAUGACGCUGCUCUCUUUGUUCAAGUGUCAAAUUUUUAAAACACUUCGUUGAAUACCAGAACGAAUAUCACAGCAAGAUAUUAUAACACUUUUAACAAUUGCUGCUUGUUAUCUGAAAUGUGAGAUACAUUUGCUAGUGAUCUUACACAUCUAAUAUCCAAGACUUUCCAUAGCAUAGGUUCUGUGUGAGCAAAUUCGCUUAGCUGACAUACUUAUCGAGUGGAAGACGUUCAUGGUAGUUUUGGUAACAGAAAGCACAGAACACCGAAAUAGAGACGUGACUGAUUUCAUUUCAUGGGUUGACAUUUUAGACCCUUUAAACACUUUCCGAACCGGAUAAGAAUUGUUUGGACUAAUACUAACACACAGAGUGUUAAUUUAUCUCUGAGUAUAGUUAUCUUUUAAUUAAAUUAAUCUGUGUAAUAUGAAAAUAAUCAACGUCUGUGCUUCUAAAAAGUGCUAAUGAGAAUGUAAAUUGAAUGCGCCAAAAAUAAAUUAGCAUACAAAAAAGCAAUAUGUUUAGCUGAUAACAAAUAGUCUAAUUGUUGAUAUUUUGAUAAUUUACACGGUGGAUCAACAAUUACUAUCUCACACUUGCAGAUACGAUAAAAAGCAAGCUUUAUAUAAUAUAUAUUUCCUAAACAUUAAUACGAGACAAAAAAUCAGAUAGAUAAAAUGCUAAAACAAUAAAAAAAUUAACGAUUUGAAUAUACACAUACUUAGCUGUAUUUAUUUCUAUACAUUUAAAUAUGAUAGAUGAACAUAUGUACAUAUAUAUAUAUAGGCAGAUGUGUACAUAAUAGUAUCAGCAAAUGUAAACAUUAACUUUGAAUAUCGAAUACUCACUAUCAUUUGUAUCGCCGAAGGCGCUAUGUGUUGGGACAUGAUGAUGGUUUCGCGAGUAGUGAUCUCCCUCCAUAUCUGAGUCUGCCGAAGUGUGGCGUUUGUAAUUAAAAUUCGACGAAUGCCCCGCAUCUCCGGGACUUGAAUGUGGUGUGAUGUCGAUCAUUUCGUCGUCGUCGUCGUCGGCAAC